GACGAACGCUGGCGGCGUGCUUAACACAUGCAAGUCGAGCGGUAAGGCCCUUUCGGGGGUACACGAGCGGCGAACGGGUGAGUAACACGUGGGUGACCUGCCCUCAGCUACUGGGGAUAAGCCUGGGAAACCGGGUCUAACUACCGGGAUAUGACUCCAUGACGCAUGUUGUGGGUGGAAAGCCUUGUAGCGGCUGAGGAUGGGCCCGCGGUCCUAUCAGCUUGUUGGUGGGGUGAUGGCCUACCAAGGCGACGACGGUAGCCGGCCUGAGAGGGCGACCGGCCACACU
rnacentral:rRNA from 1 species